rnacentral:lncRNA from 1 species
UAAUACAUUGACAACGACGCGUACCUCUGAAUAACCCUUAACUCUUCCUCUCUCUUCUCCUCUGUACAUUCCUCUUCUUCUCCUUCGUACGCUUCGUAUAUCACCUCCAGUGGCGCCCUCACAUUCCACUCCACAAAGCUGUCGCCGCAAAACGGUCUCGGUUCCGGGUCAUACACCAAAUCCUUUCCACAAACAGCAUCCAUAGUGGAUUCGACAACGCAGUCGGAAUCCCAGUCGGGUUUAGGUUCCGGGUCAAACACCGAAUACUUUUCACAGUUCGAGCCUACAACGAAGCAGCCAUCAUGAAACCGUAUUGGGUCCGGGUCCAGGUCGGGUUUGGGGUCCGUGUCAAACACCGAAUCAUUAGCACAGCUAGUGCAAUCAUCAUGGCAGGCAAAAUCACGCGAAACUUGUAACGAUGGGUCCUCGGGUUCGUGGUUUUUAGUCCUCUGAGCUGCACCGAGUUUGAGAAGGGAAAGUAAUAAAAUGGCGCCCUUACAUUCCACUCCACAAAGCUGUCGUCGCAAAACGGUCUCGGCCCCCGGUCAUACACCGAAUCCUUUCCACAAACGGCGUCCUUAGUG